rnacentral:pre_miRNA from 1 species
AGAGAGAUAGCUGGGUCAAAAGGUCAUUCCAUUCCCAAUUUUCCAAGAAAUCUCCAUACUGUUUUCCAUAUUGGCUGCACCAAUUUGAAGUCCCACCAGCAGU